GAAUUGACGGGGGCCCGCACAAGCGGUGGAGCAUGUGGUUUAAUUCGAUGCAACGCGAAGAACCUUACCUGGUCUUGACAUCCACGGAAGUUUUCAGAGAUGAGAAUGUGCCUUCGGGAACCGUGAGACAGGUGCUGCAUGGCUGUCGUCAGCUCGUGUUGUGAAAUGUUGGGUUAAGUCCCGCAACGAGCGCAACCCUUAUCCUUUGUUGCCAGCGGUCCGGCCGGGAACUCAAAGGAGACUGCCAGUGAUAAACUGGAGGAAGGUGGGGAUGACGUCAAGUCAUCAUGGCCCUUACGACCAGGGCUACACACGUGCUACAAUGGCGCAUACAAAGAGAAGCGACCUCGCGAGAGCAAGCGGACCUCAUAAAGUGCGUCGUAGUCCGGAUUGGAGUCUGCAACUCGACUCCAUGAAGUCGGAAUCGCUAGUAAUCGUGGAUCAGAAUGCCACGGUGAAUACGUUCCCGGGCCUUGUACACACC
rnacentral:rRNA from 4 species